rnacentral:sRNA from 1 species
CGAGCGAAGCGAGAGAACGUUGCGUCAGCAACGGCCCGCAGGGCGAGCCACGUAGUGGCGAGUCAUCCUCUAUCACCGGCAA